CGUUGGGACUUGAUGGAUGGCUGAGAUGACUUGCAGUUGGAGUUGUGGUAUAGUAGCUUAGAUAUGGCUAGGGCACGGAACAGGGGAGAAAAUACGUGAACUUGGGGUGGCCAUGUGUUGAAAAGGAAAUUGGGAAGUUUGGAUACGUGGGGAGUGAAGGAGAGAGACUUGUUUGGAUUCAUGAAAAUAAAUUAUUUGGGAUGGCACGUGCUGAGAAAUGAAAAUUGGGGUCGACUCUAAUUGGUUGGGAAGAUCCGAUUCAUGGGGUGCAUGUGAUUUGGGUUCAGGGGUCAUCCCAGAUGAAUUUGAUU
rnacentral:lncRNA from 1 species